AGCGUAGACGGCAAGGCAAGUUUGAUGUGAAAACCCAGAGCUUAACCCUGGGACUGCAUUGGAAACUGUCUGGCUCGAGUGCCGGAGAGGUAAGCGGAAUUCCUAGUGUAGCGGUGAAAUGCGUAGAUAUUAGGAAGAACACCAGUGGCGAAGGCGGCUUACUGGACGGUAACUGACGUUGAGGCUCGAAAGCGUGGGGAGCAAACA
rnacentral:rRNA from 1 species